rnacentral:tRNA from 1 species
GUGGAGGCUCACUGGUAGAGCGCUUGCCUAGCAGGCAUGAGGCACUGGGUUCAAUCCCUGGCACCACA